UGGUCUAGUGGUUGGCGACCCUGCCCAUGGCAGGGGGGUUGAAACGCGAUGAUCAUUGUGGUCCUUUUCAAGCCAGGCGAUUCUGUGAUUCUAUGAUUCUAUGAACCUCUAUUGCCACACUACCAACAUGUGCCUCUGAUGUCUUGGGUCAACUUAAUAACAUAGAAGGCAAUACUUUCAGAGCAGUUCUCAUGAAAUAUAUAAUAUAUAGUCAAUGUACAUAAGUAACAAAACAUUUUGAUUUUUAAUAUGUUUUAUUAAAGCAUAAAAGAGAGCAACAAAACCAUAAAACCCAUGGGAUAUUUGACCUUGUUUUAUGAAACUAAUGACUCAGUCUGAUUUGAUGUCAGUGGCGGCCAUUCUCAGUGAGCCCUCAAGGUGUUCAUCAAAGAUUUUAGAUGAAAUUUUUUUUUUACUGUACUUCAUCCUUCAAAACAGUUGUUCACAAAUGUGCAUACUGCCAAAACAAUGACAUAAAUAAGGCUAGAUGGUGAGAGAGGGGUAUUUCUCUGUGGUAAGAUAGGGCUUAUAGGAGUCUGGUAAGGAGAACCAAUCAGAUUCUUGAGUUCAAUAUCUGAUGGCAACUCUACACAUUCUAUUUGAAAAUUGCAGGUCAUGCAUUUAUGUUAAUUGUAGAGUCACAAAUAUAACAAAAUAUUGAUAAUUUUUUUUUUUUUUUUUUUUGCAGUCUUAAGAUCUAUUCUCAAAUUCCUUAUCAGAAUGGAAAGCAAAGCUUUCUAUGUUUUGCUAUUCACAGGAUCAGCCAAUGUAUUAAAAUACAUGAAAUUGUUUGCCUUUACUUGAGCUGGCACUGCACUGUCCUGGUUUCAGCCCAGGUAGGGCUAACAGCGCACGGAUGUGUGGUCAUUGCCAAGUGACUGUUGUGUGUUUGGGGCAAAACUGGGUCUCUCAACAGGGAAGAGCCACCACAAUGAUGGCAUGGGGCACAGGCUAAGCUGCACUGUGAGCUGUGCCAGGCUGCAUGCAGUCUUGAGGCCAUGGGUUGGACAAGUCUGACUUAGAAUAAAUGUAAGGUAGAAAUCCUUUCCUUUGAGGACAGUGAGACAGAGGAAAAGACUGCCCAGAGAAGCUGUGGAUGGUCCAUCACUGGAAGUAUUCAAUGUCAGGUUGGGUAGGGCUUUGGACUAACCUCAUUCAGAGAAUGGUGUCCCUACCCAUGGCUGGGAGAGAUUAGAUUAUUUUUGAAACUUGUUUCUAACACAGACCAUUCUGUGUGCAAAGAAUCAAACUCAAAGAACGAACAAGCAGUCCUCUAAAGAUGUGUUCUGUUCAGUGACCUUCCCAAAAACUGCAGGAGCCAAAGGGAGCAAAUGAGUUCAGAAGAAGCUGAGAGGGAACAUACGCUCCCAUUAGUCCAGAGGAAAGUUUAAUAGUCAGUAUUAUAUCCUGCAUCUAUAGAAGGCAUGAAAGAAAUCACUGGAAGCACCCAGAUAAAGGAGGAUGUGUUGGGAUCCCCUUGUACCAUGGAAUCAUGAACAUAGCAAGACAUCACCAAAAACAGCAAUGCAAUCAACUACAUUUUCCUUAGUUCCACAACAGUUUGCUCUAUUUCUUGGCACACUGUUUGCAAUUUAGUCACUUCACAGGAAAAAGAAUCACUUUCCUUUCCUCUUUACCUGAUGUUAGGUGACAAACACUUUCUUGGUGCUUGAGGUACAUAGGCAUCAAGUGAUGGGAUCCUUAUGGGACCCUUCCUAUUCAGGAUAUUCUAUUCUGUGUUGUCUACCUGGGUUUCAGCGAAGUAUUUGACAUAGUUUCUCACAGCCUUCUCUGGGAGAAACUGGCUGCUCAUGUCACAGUGAAUGGAGUUCAGUCCAGUUGGUGGCUAGUCACCUCUGGUGCUCAUGGGGCUCAGGACUACAGCCAGGUUUGUUUAACAUUUUUAUCAGUGAAUAAGAGGAUUGAGCACACUCUCAUUAAAUUUGCAGAAACCACCACAUUGGGCAGGAUUGUUGAUCUGACUGAGGGUAGGAGGUCUCUGUAGAGGGGCAUUAAUAGGCUACAUAGAUGGGUGGAGUCCAGUCACAGUAAUAAGACUAAAGUGCACCCAUUGAUAUUCAUCGAUGUUUGCUGAACAUUUUUAUGGAGGCCAAACUUUGGAUGUCAGCACAGUGACACAGUGGGUGGUGUGUUUCAGCAGUUGUGACAGUAACAUGAAAGACAAGCCACGUUCCUGACAGCCAUGCAGAACUGUCACACUGCAAAAUGAAGAGCAUCUCAAUCAGCUCAUCCUCAUGAAUCUGCUCAUGGUAGUGUCUAUGUUGAAAAAACAGUGUUUUGUAGCUGAGAAUGUGCUCUAUCAAAUAGUGUUAUUGUGCUCUUUGUAUCUCUAGCUUUCAUGAAAAUAAACUGAGGGCAUUGUUUUCAGAGCAACAUACAUACAUUUACCAAAAACAUGGUUCUUGUUCUGCAGACAAGAGUCCUCAAAAGAAGGGGAUGAGGAUAGAGUGGGUAAAUGAAAGAACAGAAUAUGAAGUAGAAAGAGAAAGCAGGGAAAAAAAAAUGAGAUUGGAGAGGAGGGGUGUCAAAGAGGUGGAAAGGGGGAAUAAACAGAGUUUAGAUCUUAGGGACACAUUUACUGCUAUUUGGCAACCUCAUUUGAAACUUUUUUAUGUUUUGUUGACAAUAUACACACUUACUCAGCAAUGCUAGAGCACAACAGGACAGUUCAGAUUGCUUCUCAGUUGCAAGCAGGGAGAUCUAACCUAAGCUAAUGAAACAAAUGCUUCACUAAUUAAACAACUCGCCUUUGAAGCAAUACAAAGCAAGAAGAAUAUUUGAAAGGAUAUGUACAAAAAGUGCACACUAUCUUUUUGAUCUUUUAUUUUCCCUGGCUGCGUACUAUACGGGAUAUGCUCAAUGAUAUGUCUUACGCCUUGUGCAUCCUUAUGUAAGAGUGAUUGAUAAUGAAUUAAUAAUAUAUUUUCUCAGAGAGGAUCUGAAGUGAAGUUCUGAAGUCAAAAUGCAGGCCUCUAGCUUCUAUCUGAAAGUGGAAAACACUUCUCCUUCACUAGCUGCUUCAAAAGGAGCAGAUGGGGACUCAACAUGCUUUUAAAGAACAUUCUGACAGUUACAUGACUUGUAGAGACUGAUGAAGACAUGAAGGAGAUUUUGUACACAUGGAAGUAACACAGCUUUGGACAGUCUUAGUGUGGAAGAUGUACUGGGAGCUCACAUAGGUGGAGACCCCAAGCACUAUUGUCACCCUUGUCAGGCAAAGAAAGACGGUAAUGUGUGCUGCUACCACGUGGCUGGGUCCUGACAUAAGCCUUUAGGCAAAUUAUAAUACAAAUAAAUGUGGACAGGCAGCUUCUGAGAUUAAAAGUUCACCCUUUUAGGGACAAGAAACCUGUAGAAAUCAGAAGGUCAAGUCCUUAACAAAUAUUUUAAAACUUGUUAGUAUUUUGAUGUCUGGGAUGUGAUUGAUUUUUGCUUUCUUUGUCCCUUCUCCAUUAGUUUUUUAAUCAAAAUGAAAUUCAAUCACAGUUUAUACAGCUCUGCUGAGAGAUGGUAGCUUGAUAAGCCACGCUUGUGUGAUAGUGGUCAUCAUUUGCCUGCAGUCUAUGCCAUAGCUGGCAGCCCUCAUCUGAUCUCAAAACCUUUAUUAAUGUAACUUAAUUUGGCUCAGAAAUCACUCUAGUAACUUUCCUACCCCUACUGUGAGACAUUAUGUUAUUUCAGGUUAACAACUGACCAACUAAACACAAGUUGCUCCUUAAGCCUUUUAAGUUUUGCCUUGAAGGCUCAAAAGUAAGUGAGUUUAGAAGUAGUUUUAUUACACUAAGUAAACCACUAUACUUUUCUGUGUGUAUAAAGUUUAAGUACACUUGAAGAAAUGUUAAGUUACAGUGGCUCAAAACCACAUUGUCCUACACUCAAGCCCCAGUAAUAGGCUGAGCACACGCUCCUGUAAAGUAAAACACAACAGCUUAAAUGUCCCCUUGCUACCUAACCUAGAGAUUAACCUGUUUCAUUGAAAUGUAAGCCAGUGAGUGUUACCUUGAAGGCAGACUGACCUCAGGCAGCACAUAUGGUCAGUUAGCACAUCUCAGCUUAUGGGUACAAUCAGUUCAACUGCUUGCUGUUUCAAAGCAGCUUCACAUUGUAAGUGCAUUAACCAUUGCCAUAUUUUAACCACUUGAAGGUUGAAAGGCAUUUCAAUUUGAAAAUUUCUCAUAGCUCUAAUAAGCUUGAUUCUGUCACAGUCUGCCUAAAAGCAGUGGAAUUCACCUUUUGGAACAGAAGCACAAAUGGAUGUGUCUUUGAUGUGUUUAGAGCUACAAAAGUUUGAUGUUUUCAAUUAAAACAAGUGCUAUUUACUUCUAUACUUACGGGUAAUAGAGCACUUUUGACUUUUACAAAGUGCGUGUUAUUAAAGCACUUUGCUAAUGUACAAAGGCACUUUCAUAAAACAAGGAAGAAAAGAAGCAGUUCUCUUUCAAACUGUCUGUGGAAAAUGAGAUGAAAGUAGGAAAAAAGCUUACAAGAAAAGAGUUCUUUAACAAUAAGAGAGCUGUCUUCAGCUGUUCCUGUGUAUGAUUUCAGUCAUCAUCUUUAUGCCUAGAAGCACUUUUAUAAACAUUUGUAACAAUUUAAACACAUUCUAUCACUCAAAACUUUUCACACAAGGGCUCUUCACCCUAACCUUUUUGAUGAGGCCAGAAAACACUUAUCUUGCUGUUUCCAAGGUAUCCCUAAAAUAGUACAAUGGAAAAUAAUAAAGCACUGUUAGUGUUCUGAAGUAACUAGUGCUGGUUUGUUUCUGAAUAUCAUCACUGAAGCUCUAUGUGGACCUCUUACUUCUGCAUACCUCCACUUAUUUAUUUUCAUCAAUUAUUUUCUGUACUGUGCUCUGGAAUUGCAGUUUUCAGGAAUUUAGCUCCUGAUUCAGGAGGCACAGGAUGAGUUUCAGUCUUUUCUGAAUCUAUUUUCCUCUUCUGCAUUUCUUAUCCUCUCUUGAAUGUAGCGCAGACAGUGACAGAGUUCCACCACUUUGAAAUUUGCACAGUCAGGUCUGCAACUCUCAACUAUCUGGUACAAUAUGCCUAAAAACAUAAUGGUUUUGUUAGGCCUGUGGUCGUUCAGCUGGCAGAUGGACUGGUGUGAUUUUCCCCAGACUUCUUCUGCUCAGGCCAAGAAUGACUUUUGUAGUUCUUCUAUUCCCUGUAAAGCUAAAAGACUGCUUUAUAGAAAAGGGGGGAGGGGAGAAAUGGUUUCCAACAAUAUAACUCUCAAAUUGUGAGUGUCUCUAAAAUGGCAGAGAAGAAAAAAAAAAAAAGUAUUAUUCUUCAGGUCAUAUAGCAAUGUUUCCAGUAAUGUGGCGUUUCUAAUGGAGAAAUCAUCAGCAGAGAUGUUGUUAUUUUUCUGCAAAGACCUUUGUGCAAAAUGCUUAAAACCUCUUCCAUUUCAGUUUCAGAAUAAGACAAAAGGAUGGGCACCUUGCCCACUCUCUCUUAAAUAUAUGUAUUGCUUCUCAUCUAUAAGAAAGGAGCUUUAACCUGGGAAUGGUGAUUACACUGCAUUAUUUUGCUUCUGCAGUAGUAUCAUCAAAAACAAAAAUGCCCUGUCCUAGUUUUCUAUUAAAAAACAGAUUCUGAUGGCUUCUUCUUCACAUCUUGUCCCAUCAAUCUUCCUGUCUCUAAGUGAUUUCUAGCUUUUCAUUCUGUUGUGUUUUAUUGUUUCAUAAUGGCAGAUUUUUCAUCUCUUCUCAUUGGUGUAAGUAGUCAAAUAAAUAGAACAAUCAGAAAAAUCAGGUGUUUAAUACAGAGUGUGUGGAGAAGCAGAUACAAUGGAGUUUGUCUUGUAAGAGAAUCCAAAACCAAGGAAUAGCUCUUGUAAAUAGACUUCUGAGAAGAGAACCAAAAAGCACUGUUUUGGGAAAGGAUGCAUUUUUAUGCUUCUUUGUGCGUAAGCAUUUAUUUCUUUAUUUACUGUAGAAUAAAAUGUCAUCUUAUAAAAGCAUCAGCUGCAACUACAGAUGCUAUUACAGGUUUUGUAUUAUUUGCACCCAGGAGUGCUGGGGUGAGGAAAAGGUGCAGGAGCAGCAGGAGACUGUUGCCAUAAACAGGAUUUCACAGAGUCAUGGGUCCUUUCAGAGACAUCUCCAGCUUACAUUACUUUUAAAGUUAGCAUUAUUUCUCCAUUCCAAAUACUAAGAGAUAAAACAUCAGACCGUAAACACUCCCCCAGUGACUAAGUGUGUUGUUUGAGUUUUUUCUCCCCCAGCUUCCUUGCCCCCCACUACUUUGCGGAAAGAAAAGACACUAAAAGUUCCUUCUGUGAGUUGCCAAGGUGCUCCCAGCCCAUUGUGCAGAAUCAUUGUCAGGUUAAAUUAGGGAG